ACGCACGCUGGCGGCGUGCUUAACACCUGCCAGUCGCACGGAAAGGCCCUGCUUUUGUGGGGUGCUCGAGUGGCGAACGGGUGAGUAACACGUGAGUAACCUGCCCUUGACUUUGGGAUAACUUCAGGAAACUGGGGCUAAUACCGGAUAGGAGCUCCUGCUGCCUGGUGGGGGUUGGAAAGUUUCGGCGGUUGGGGAUGGACUCGCGGCUUAUCAGCUUGUUGGUGGGGUAGUGGCUUACCAAGGCUUUGACGGGUAGCCGGCCUGAGAGGGUGACCGGCCACAUUGGGACUGAGAUACGGCCCAGACUCCUACGGGAGGCAGCAGUGGGGAAUAUUGCACAAUGGGCGGAAGCCUGAUGCAGCAACGCCGCGUGCGGGAUGACGGCCUUCGGGUUGUAAACCGCUUUCGCCUGUGACGAAGCGUGAGUGACGGUAAUGGGUAAAGAAGCACCGGCUAACUACGUG
rnacentral:rRNA from 1 species